rnacentral:rRNA from 1 species
UACGUAGGGUGCAAGCGUUGUCCGGAAUUACUGGGCGUAAAGCGCGUGUAGGCGGUUGUCCAAGUCGGGUGUGAAAGCCUUGAGCUCAACUCAAGAAAUGCACUCGAUACUGGGUGACUUGAGGACCGGAGAGGAUAGUGGAAUUCCCAGUGUAGUGGUGAAAUACGUAGAGAUUGGGAAGAACACCAGUGGCGAAGGCGGCUAUCUGGACGGUUUCUGACGCUAAGACGCGAAAGCGUGGGGAGCAAACAGG